rnacentral:lncRNA from 1 species
UUUUUUGUAAAUUAAGUGUUGAAACUUGACUAUAAUGUCAGCCUGGGGAAAUGGACUACUGUGUUGCAUAAUAAUAAAAUAAAAUUCUAUACUAGCUUGAAAUAUUUACAGGCUUGUGUGCACAUGUAUGCAGGGACGGGGUUAAUGAUUAAAAAUUAGCUAUGAAGUUGUCUUUAAAAUAUAUUUCUUGGUGAUAGGGAAUGUAGACCGCAUCAAAAACCAAAGACCUAUGUAACCUAUUGAUACAAAACUUGGUGAAGCUUGGUGCAGUGACGCAUGUCUGUAAUCCCCCAGCAGCUCAGGAGGCUGAGGCAGGAGGAUCAGAAGUUCAAAGCCAUCCUCAGGAAUUUAGCAUGGCCCUAAGCAACUCAAUGAGACUCUGUCUCUAAAUAAAAUACAUAAAGGGCUGGGGAUGUGACUCUGUGGUUGAGUUCAAUUCCUGGUACCAAAACAAAACAAAACAUAAACUUGGUGAAGAAUUUCUCCAGGGAAGUCAGCUCUGACAUUCAAUAAACAGGUGCAAUUUACUUUCUUAAUAGUUAAUCCUUACACAUUUAUUUAGAAGCCCUCCUUCAAAAUCCAGCAGUGUCUUUUGGACAAUUUAGAAUUAACCCUGUAUUUAAUGAAAAAUUAAAUAUAGAGCAGAAAAGCAUAACUUGUUUUCUUUGGAAGAAAAUAAAACAUUUUAAAGUAUCUUUUGUUGAGCACUCUAUCAUAUGAUGACUUUAAAAAAAAAAUGCAGCAGCUGAAAUUGCAUUAUAGAACAAAAUGUGAAUGAAGGGAACUUGAAUUCCGUUGAAGCCUUCGUUAGAAAUCUUAUAAUGAAAACUGUCAGGGAAGGCCCUUUGUAUUCUGUGUCUCUUAAAAGACAAGUUUUCCUACAGGCAUUAAUGUUUUGACCUUAAAAUGAUUUCCUAGAAGCCCUUUUAAAUAAAAUUUUGUGAUAUAUGUGAUUGGUUUGGGACAAAUUUGGAAUUCCCUGUGUUUUAAGGUGAGUGGUUGAGGGUAAUUGUAAUUCUGGUUUCUUGAAAAUGUGGACGAAACCCACAGAAGCAGCUGUAAAAGCAGUGUGUUGGAAUUAUUAUGCAGGGAACUGAAAAUCUGAACUGGAACUGGAUCCUAAUACAUGCCCUGUUGAAGGGUGCAGUUAAAAAAAUAAAACCUAUAGCAUGCUGAAAGAUGAAACUUAAGGGAGAAAGAGGCUAGACUUGAACUUAUCCUUUCCCCCAAGCAGUGGAGGUCAAUGUGUAAGGCAGGUAAGAUGGUUGUCUUAGGUAGGUUGAAUACAGUAUUUAUAUACAGUAUUUUCUGUAUGUGUGUUUAUUGAAUGGCUUAUUUUAUUUUUUGAGGUGGUGUGGAUCGAACGUAGGGCCUUGGACAUGUUAGGCAAGCCUUCUCCCAUUGAGCCACACUCACUCCCAACCCCUGCUUUUUUUUUGGUGGUAUUUGGGGUGGAAUCCCCUAAGUGUGUUCUGCCAUUGAGCUAUAUCCCAAGCCCUAUACAUUAUUGUGCAAAGGUGAAUUAACAGCCAUAGUUCCUUAAGGAAAUUAUCAAAUAUGUCUCAAAAAUAGGUGACUUUUUGCUUUGUUCCUUUAAAGAAAUCAAGUGUUUGGUGGCGAAGGUGCUGAUGAAAGAGAAGUUAAAAACAUUUUGCCUAUAUUUUAAUGCCUAAUUUUUUUUUUUUUUUAAUCCUCAGUAUUCUACCUUGUAAAUACUGUUAUUUGUAUAUACUGUAAAUGAUGACGUCGGUGGGCACUAACCGAGCCCGGGGAAACUGGGAACAACCUCAAAACCAAAACCAGACACAGCACAAGCAGCGGCCACAGGUAAAAGAACCCAAAGGCUAUGGAUUCAUGGGUAACUCUACUGGUAGAUAGGGGUUUGGGGGUUUUAUUCUUGUUAGUCCUUGGAUUUCUUUUGUUUUCUUUUUAAAGGGUGAGAUAGCUCUCAAUGACAUGCUGCGAUACAACAUGCUUUUGUUGUUGUUGUUUAAUGCUACAUUGUAAGACUUAUGGCUCCAGUUUGAGUCCUGUGCUGCUUUGUGUCUCUAACAGGUGUUUUCCUUUUAUCAUCUGGACCAUUUAAUAGUACAUUUCUUGUUUCCUAGGCUUUCUUCUACCUUGACAUCUCUUUAGUCAGCCUUUGUCUUGACAACUUUUCCCUUCCAGAUUUUGUCUUUCAUUCUAACAAUUGAGGCCCUCUAGUUCAUUGUUUAGUAUGAGAUCUUAAGGAAUAAAUUAACCUCAUGGGUAUUAAGUUUGAUUUAGAUGUGGUCUGUUUUAUAACCAGUAAAGAUAUCUAAUGUGAAUGAUACCUAAUGUGAAUGAAGUACUUAAUGUUUGGCUGUGGUCAGAUAUGUUGAAUAUGUAGGACUAUAAUUUUUCCUUAAUGUGCUUUUAUUUUUUUAAUAAGAUUUGAUUGAAUCUUUUUAAAAUAUUUUAUUUAUUUAUUUAUUUUAUGUGGGGCCUGAGAAUCAAGCCCAGUGCCUCAGACAUGCUAGGCGAGCGCUCUACCACUGAGCCACAUCCCCCAGCACAUUUUUUUUUUAAAAUAUAUCUUUUUUAGUUGUAAUUGGACACAAUACCUUUAUCUUACCUGUUUAUAUUAUGAGGUGUUGAGGACCAAACCCAGUGCUUCUCAUAUGCUAGUUGAGCAUUCUACCACUCAGCCCCAGCCCCUGUUUUUUUUUUUAAACAGAAAAUUCUAGUAGAAUUUUCACAAUUAAUCUCUUAAGAGGUUAGUAUUAGUAAUUGAAGAAAUAAGAACUGGGUUUAUAUAUAACUUUGUAAAUACAUUGAUGUGAAUUAAGGGGCAGAUAUUCCAAAGUGCUAUAAUUCCAAGAUGAAAGCCCCUUUAACGUGAACAUUGAUGGAAAAGCUCCCAGUUCUUUUUUGGAUUUUAGAAUGAAAUAGUUACAGGUUUCCUCUGUUUUUGUUAUUUUGCCUAUUUAACUAUCUUUAAAUUAUUUUGCAACAAGGAAAAAAAAACUAGGGUGAUGGGGAGAGUAAACAUUGCUACUUAGAUCCAUUUUAUUUAUUUUUUAAAAAAAUAUUUAUUUAUUUAUUUUUCGGUGGACACAACAUCUUUGUUUGUAUGUGGUGCUGAGGAUCGAACCCGGGCCACACGCAUGCCAGGCGAGCGCGCUACCACUUGAGCCACAUCCCCAGCCCCAAGAUCCAUUUUAUUUCUCUAAACUCUUGACUUUUGAUUGUUUUCUUGGUCUCAUCUCACUCAAUUCCUAGGCCACUGCGGAACAAAUUCGACUUGCACAGAUGAUUUCGGACCACAAUGAUGCUGACUUUGAGGAGAAGGUGAAACAAGUGAGUGCAUCACUAUUUGCUAUAAGCUAAUAGAAAAGAGAACCACCUGUGAGCAUAAUGAAAUAUCAUAGAUGCUCACCAGGAUUCUUUGUGCCAUGUAUAUUGAAG